UACGUAGGGUGCGAGCGUUAAUCGGAAUUACUGGGCGUAAAGCGUGCGCAGGCGGUUAUGUAAGACAGUUGUGAAAUCCCCGGGCUCAACCUGGGAAUUGCAUCUGUGACUGCAUAGCUAGAGUACGGUAGAGGGGGAUGGAAUUCCGCGUGUAGCAGUGAAAUGCGUAGAUAUGCGGAGGAACACCGAUGGCGAUGGCAAUCCCCUGGACCUGUACUGACGCUCAUGCACGAAAGCGUGGGGAGCAAACAGG
rnacentral:rRNA from 1 species